GACGAACGCUGGCGGCGUGCCUAAUACAUGCAAGUCGAGCGAAGCGGCGGAUGGGUGAGUAACGCGUGGGUAACCUGCCCUUAAGUCUGGGAUACCAAUUGGAAACAGCUGCUAAUACCGGAUAAUACUGAAUGUAACUGCGAUGCAUUAGCUAGUGUGUAAGGUAACGGCUUACCAAGGCGAUGAUGCAUAGCCGAGUUGUGGGACUGAUCGGCCAAACUGGGACUGAGACACGGCCCAAACUCCUACGGGAGGCAGCAGUAGGGAAUCUUCCACAAUGGACGAAAGUCUGAUGGAGCAACGCCGCGUGAGUGAAGAAGGUUUUCGGAUCGUAAAGCUCUGUUGUUGGUGAAGCGGUAAUCAACCAGAAAGUCACGGCUAACUACGUGCCAGCAGCCGCGGUAAUAC
rnacentral:rRNA from 1 species